UAGUGCUUUGAUUCCAUGAUAUAGUAUGAUGUUAGACCCCCAAUCCGUUUUACCUUCUCUAGGAGGAGGACCACUUAAUUUGCCCAGAAAUAAAUCAAUAAUUUUGCAUAAACAUUUGCAGUAGCUGUUUAUUUCUCUAUCGAUUCCUCUAAUUAUGUAUGUGGGACACACAAUAUCUCUUUUUCUAAAUUUGUAAGUAAAGACAUAUUCUAGUUUCGUUCAUAAUAAGUAAAUUUUCUUCUGAUUUCUCUUUUGAUUUCUGUUUUUUCAUUCUUAACUUUUUUUGCUUUGUUCAUUUUGAAAUCAAAUCGUCUUCUACGCCUUUCCAGUUCUCAGAACCAAAUCGGCUUUGUCUUCUUCUCUCCUGUGACUCACUCUUUUGAUCUUAAGGGAACGCAAAAAAAGAAAAGAAAGAAAAACGACUCCAGCUCUUCCUUGGUGACACAAUCUUGAUUAAGUGCUUUGAGGUUUUGGGCUUGGUCUGGGUGGCUCUGUGAUUUUUGAAUUAGGCUUGGCGGCUUUAACACUUUUGGAAUUUAGCCUUGGAAGCCUUGAGAAUUUUAGUCAUGGCACCUGGUCGUCGCACCACUCGAUCUACUGUUCAAAGUCAACAAGUUGAACCAGUCAUUGAUCCUCCUACUCCACCUUCACAAGUUGUUCGCACUACUCGGUCGAGAAUAGAGAAUCAACAAGUUAAACCAGUCAUUGAUCCUCCUGCUCCACCUACACAAGUUAUUCGCACUACUCGGUCGAGUUUAGAGAAUCAACAAGUUUGUCGCACCACUCGAUCUACGGUACUCAGUCAACGACCUAGAACCACCGCACAAUCUAAUGUAGAGAGAGAACACCCUCAAGGCUCCACACACCCUACUGUACAGGGUGAACAAGUCAAUGUGACGACCCAUUUUGAUACCGAAGAUGAUAAUCAAUCUUCCCAAGUU